UGUGGCCUUGUUGAUGGCAAAGGACACAUCCUGAGUGAUUGCAGAUACACGAUCUUCCCUGCAGAAUACAGAUAGCUCCUGCUUCUGUAUUAACCAAGGCAGAACUGGUUCUUCUUGUUUCCUCUUCAUGGAUAGGCUUGUCUACCAGAGGAUAGAAAACUGUGGAUUCCUUACCAGGUAAUAUGGUUUGAUCAUACAAGGCUCCCUGAAACAAUGGCCUAGAUGGUCCAACAUCUAUGACAGCUUCAAGACUGCUGGCUGAGAUGGACCUACCACACAGGAUACCCCAUGAAAGACCUGAUCAACAGCACCUCCAAUCAGCAGGAAGUAGUCUAGAGAACAAUGCCCAAAUUCUCUAAAUGAUUGUUUAAUAAAUGUUUGUUUACAUUUAAAAGGGGCUAUGCCAUAAAGAUGAAUACUUAUGGAUCUUGGUUUAUUGAUACAAAUUCAAGGACACACCAAUCUACUUCAAGAGGAUGAUGGGCAUCGAAGAGAGUCCUUAUGGUGUUUGUUAUCCAUUUGGGCAAGAAACUGCUCUUGCCUGAACUUCUUGAUGGUAUUCUGUAUGAACUGGACAUGCAGGACCCACAGAAAAAUGACUGCUGAAGUUACCUAAGAAAGGUGAAACAGUCCUUUAGAGUUCCUGCUUCAUGAAAGAGACUGCCAGACAUUCUGUAGGAUACAGAAGAAAGUGACUGACAAACUGCCAAUAGAGGCCAAACAGUCAUUUAAAUUUCCUGCUUCAUGGAAAAAUCU